UCCUACGGGAGGCAGCAGUGGGGAAUAUUGCACAAUGGGGGCAAGCCUGAUGCAGCCAUCCCGCGUGUAUGAAGAAGGCCUUCGGGUUGUAGAGUACUUUCAGCAGGAAAGGAAGGUCGAAGGUAAUUCCCCGCGCGACUGACGUACCGCAGA
rnacentral:rRNA from 1 species